rnacentral:rRNA from 1 species
GAACGCUGGCGGAGGCUUACACAUGCAAGUCGAGCGGUAACAUUUCUAGCUUGCUAGAAGAUGACGAGCGGCGGACGGGUGAGUAACGCGUAGGAAUCUGCCUAGUAGUGGGGGACAACAUGUGGAAACGCAUGCUAAUACCGCAUACGCCCUACGGGGGAAAGGAGGGGAUCUUCGGACCUUUCGCUAUUAGAUGAGCCUGCGUGAGAUUAGCUAGUUGGUGGGGUAAAGGCCUACCAAGGCGACGAUCUCUAGCUGGUCUGAGAGGAUGAUCAGCCACACUGGGACUGAGGCACGGCCCAGACUCCUACGGGAGGCAGCAGUAGGGAAUAUUGGACAAUGGGCGCAAGCCUGAUCCAGCCAUGCCGCGUGUGUGAAGAAGGCCUUAGGGUUGUAAAGCACUUUCAGGAGUGAGGAAGGGCGUAUAGUUAAUACCUGUAUGUUUUGACGUUAACUCCAGAAGAAGCACCGGCUAACUCUGUGCCAGCAGCCGCGGUAAUACAGAGGGUGCGAGCGUUAAUCGGAAUUACUGGGCGUAAAGCGCGCGUANGCGGUUUGUUAAGUCGGAUGUGAAAUCCCAGGGCUCAACCUUGGAAUG